GACGAACGCUGGCGGCGUGCCUAAUACAUGCAAGUCGAGCGAACAGAGAAAGUGCUUGCACUUUCAAAGUUAGCGGCGGACGGGUGAGUAACACGUAAGGAACCUACCGAUAAGCGGGGGACAACAUCCGGAAACGGGUGCUAAUACCGCAUAGGAAGUUUGUUCGCAUGAACAAACUUAGAAAGAUGGCUCUGCUAUCACUUAUCGAUGGCCUUGCGGUGCAUUAACUAGUUGGCGAGGUAACGGCUCACCAAGGUGAUGAUGCAUAGCCGACCUGAGAGGGUAAUCGGCCGCAUUGGGACUGAGACACGGCCCAAACUCCUACGGGAGGCAGCAGUAGGGAAUCUUCCGCAAUGGACGCAAGUCUGACGGAGCAACGCCGCGUGAGUGAAGAAGGUUUUCGGAUCGUAAAACUCUGUUGUAAGAGAAGAACAAAUUGUAGAGUAACUGCUACAGUCUUGAC
rnacentral:rRNA from 1 species